CUUGCAUAACCACAGUAUAAGAGGUCCCGCCUGCCCAGUGACGACUUAGUUCAACGGCCGCGGUAUUUUGACCGUGCAAAGGUAGCGUAAUCACUUGUCUUUUAAAUGAAGACCUGUAUGAAUGGCAUAACGAGGGCUUAACUGUCUCCUUCCCCCGGUCAAUGAAAUUGAUCUCCCCGUGCAGAAGCGGGGAUAAAACCAUAAGACGAGAAGACCCUAUGGAGCUUUAGACACACAGGUGGCCCAUGUCAAAUAACCCCCGCUAAGGGCCUGAACUAAGUGGAACCUGCCUUGAUGUCUUCGGUUGGGGCGACCAUGGGGAAUACAAAACCCCCACGUGGAAGGGGAGCACACCCCUAAGUUACUUCUUCUCCCGCAAGCCAGAGCAACGGCUCUAACCAGCAGAAAUUCUGACCAAACUGAUCCGGUAAUACCGAUCAACGAACCAAGUUACCCUAGGGAUAACAGCGCAAUCCCCUUUUAGAGCCCAUAUCGACAAGGGGGUUUACGACCUCGAUGUUGGAUCAGGACAUCCUAAUGGUGCAGCCGCUAUUAAGGGUUCGUUUGUUCAACGAUUAAAGUCCU
rnacentral:rRNA from 1 species